GACGAACGCUGGCGGCAUGCCUAACACAUGCAAGUCGAACGAGACCUUCGGGUCUAGUGGCGCACGGGUGCGUAACGCGUGGGAACCUGCCCUUAGGUUCGGAAUAACUCCCCGAAAGGGGUGCUAAUACCGGAUAAUGUCUUCGGACCAAAGAUUUAUCGCCUUUGGAUGGGCCCGCGUUGGAUUAGCUAGUUGGUAGGGUAAAAGCCUACCAAGGCGACGAUCCAUAGCUGGUCUGAGAGGAUGAUCAGCCACACUGGGACUGAGACACGGCCCAGACUCCUACGGGAAGCAGCAGUGGGGAAUAUUGGACAAUGGGCGAAAGCCUGAUCCAGCAAUGCCGCGUGAGUGAUGAAGGCCUUAGGGUUGUAAAGCUCUUUUACCCGGGAUGAUAAUGACAGUACCGGGAGAAUAAGCUCCGGCUAACUACGUG
rnacentral:rRNA from 1 species